rnacentral:rRNA from 1 species
UACGUAGGCAGCGAGCGUUGUUCGGAGUUACUGGGCGUAAAGCGCACGUAGGCGGUCUUUUAAGUCGGGGGUGAAAUCCUGGAGCUCAACUCCAGAACUGCCUUCGAUACUGGAAGACUCGAGUCCGGGAGAGGUGAGUGGAACUGGCGAGUGUAGAGGUGAAAUUCGCAGAUAUUCGCAAGAACACCAGUGGCGAAGGCGGCUCACUGGCCCGGUACUGACGCUGAGGUGCGAAAGCGUGGGGAGCAAACAGG